AAGGAAUUUCUGGAAAAGGUUCACGUGAUUUUUAACAUUCUCUGCUGAUCUCAAUGAAAAGGCCUUUAUCUCAUACACCCUCAGAAGCAUACUGACUAUUUGCCAGAGGACAGGACGACCGAUUGCACAGCCCAGUCAGACUAUAUUCAUUUCUGCAAAAGCCCUGAGUCUUGGUUCUAGGAUGCAAGGAGAAUAAUGUUUACAACCAAGGGGGCAACUAAAUGCAGGUCAGUCUAGGCUGCAAUAUACUCACCUUAUUUUGAAAGAACAAAACUGUCUGUUUCCCAGUGUAUUCCAGAUAACCUGCAAGACAAAGUAAAAGCCCUUUUGCUCUGGCCUCA